rnacentral:rRNA from 1 species
GAUGAACGCUGGCGGCGUGCCUAAUACAUGCAAGUCGAGCGAACAGACGAGGAGCUUGCUCCUCUGACGUUAGCGGCGGACGGGUGAGUAACACGUGGAUAACCUACCUAUAAGACUGGGAUAACUUCGGGAAACCGGAGCUAAUACCGGAUAAUAUAUUGAACCGCAUGGUUCAAUAGUGAAAGACGGUUUUGCUGUCACUUAUAGAUGGAUCCGCGCCGCAUUAGCUAGUUGGUAAGGUAACGGCUUACCAAGGCAACGAUGCGUAGCCGACCUGAGAGGGUGAUCGGCCACACUGGAACUGAGCCACGGUCCAGACUCCUACGGGAGGCAGCAGUAGGGAAUCUUCCGCAAUGGGCGAAAGCCUGCCGGAGCAACGCCGCGGGAGUGAUGAAGGUCUUCGGAUCGUAAAACUCUGUUAUUAGGGAAGAACAAAUGUGUAAGUAACUAUGCACGUCUUGACGGUACCUAAUCAGAAAGCCACGGCUAACUACGUG